ensembl:snoRNA AABR07048648.1
AAGAAAAUAUCAUCCCCUUAUGUGCUAUACAAAUAGUUGAAGGUUAAUUAGCAGAGUAACUGCAUAUAGUAAUUCUGCCAGUUCCCUUCAGACAAAA